UCCCCUAGGUGAGUCCCCAUAAUAGCUCAUAAUUCGAUCUGAAAGGCUCCCGUGGUUAGUUCCAAUACGUAUUGCACGUUCAUACUUUUUACAUUUUUUCACCAAUGGUGUAAAAACCUGAACCAUUUCAAAGCAAAAAUGGAUUAUACUUUUUACAUUUUUCCACCAAUGGUGUAAAAACCUGAACCAUUUCAAAGCAAAAAUGGAUUAGACUGCAAAAAGGUAGAUUGUCCAAGAAUAUGCCCCAUAAUAAAAGGGAAAAUUUCUUGCUAAAUGCAAAUAUUGAGCAGGCAGAGUGUCCAAUAUAGGAUGAUUAUAGACCCAGCGUCAGCUUGAGAAGCAAUUCUUGUUUAACAUUGUCCGUCUUAGAUAUUGCACACAUCUUUAUUUUUUUUUCCAAAUAAGUGAAUGAAAAUGAUCUUAUAAUUAAAUCAAUAUGAUUCAUACCUUAUAGGCGAAAAGAAAGGUGAAAACCAACUGAAUAUAACUACUCCCUCC
rnacentral:lncRNA from 1 species